GGGUUCGUGGCGCAACGGAUAACGCGCCUGACUACGGAUCAGGAGAUUGCAGGUUCGAAUCCUGCCGAACUCG